rnacentral:tRNA from 1 species
GCGCUUAUGGUGGAGGGGUUAACAUACUUCCUUAGGGUUACGUAAUCCAGUUUGGAAGUGGUCCCCGGUUCGAGUCCGGGUGAGCGCC